GAUGAAGAACGUAGCGAAAUGCGAUAAGUAAUGUGAAUUUCAGAAUUCAGUGAAUCAUCGAAUCUUUGAACGCACAUUGCGCCCCCUGGUAUUCCGGGGGGCAUGCCUGUUCGAGCGUCAUUUCACCACUCAAGCCUCGCUUGGUAUUGGGCAACGCGGUCCGCCGCGUGCCUCAAAUCGACCGGCUGGGUCUUCUGUCCCCUAAGCGUUGUGGAAACUAUUCGCUAAAGGGUGUUCGGGAGGCUACGCCGUAAAACAACCCCAUUUCUAAGGUUGACCUCGGAUCAGGUAGGGAUACCCGCUGAACUUAAGCAUAUCAAUAAGCGGAGGA
rnacentral:misc_RNA from 1 species